CACCGUGGGCCUUCGGGCCCGCGUAUAUUUACUCUGAAUGUGUAUAGAAUGUAAACCGUUCGUUUGCCCUGAAAAAGCAAACGAAAAAAAGUACAACUUUCAACAACGGAUCUCUUGGCUCUCGCAUCGAUGAAGAACGCAGCGAAAUGCGAUAAGUAAUGUGAAUUGCAGAUUUUCAGUGAAUCAUCGAAUCUUUGAACGCACCUUGCGCCCCUUGGUAUUCCGAGGGGCAUGCCUGUUUGAGUGUCAUUAAAUCCUCAACCGCGCCGAUCGAUUUCGGUGGGGCUUGGACUUUGGAGCGUGCUGGCGAAGGUCGGCUCCUCUUUAAAUGCAUCAGCGGAAGAAACCUUUGUCUUUCCUGCCCUUCGGUGUGAUAAUCGUGUUGCGCCGCGGUGGAACUUCAACGAUCCGCUUACAAUGGUCUUCGGACGAAUACCUCAUGUCAUCUUGACCUCAAAUCAGGUAGGACUACCCGCUGAACUUAAGCAU
rnacentral:misc_RNA from 1 species